rnacentral:rRNA from 1 species
UACGUAGGGGGCGAGCGUUGUCCGAAGUUACUGGGCGUAAAGCGCGCGUAGGCGGUCUCUUAAGUCCGGGGUGAAAGGUUCAGCGCUCAACGCGAACAGUGCCCUGGAGACUGGGGGACUUGAGUGUGGGAGGGGGCAGUGGAAUUCCUGGUGUAGCGGUGAAAUGCGUAGAUAUCAGGAGGAACACCGAUGGCGAAGGCAGACGUGC